CUCUUAUGAAGAGCGGUGGAGGGGCUGGCCCUAUGAAACCCGGCAACCAUUCAACAAUCAUGUUGAUAAGGUGCUAAUUCCUGCAAAGCACUAUGCUUUGGAAAAUGAGAG
rnacentral:ncRNA from 1 species